GGCUCUUGUAAUUUUAUUUAAUAAAGAUCAAUUUAAAUAGUCUGCCUUAAAAACAAAAGGAAGGUUAAUGAAGGUAGAGUCUUAAAUUAUAUAGAUCACAGCUCUGAUUUUCAUGCUAACAGAAAACAGAUCAAUGGCAACUGUGCAGUAUAAUUGGAAAUGUAAGAAAACUGAAAACAGCCAUACUGUGGAAAAGUAAUAAAUACUGCUGGCAGACUGGAAUGGGGGCUAUCAGAGGAGGAUAAUACUGAAUAGAGAAAGAUGAACAAAAGUCUUGCCAGAGAAGAGGCAGGAGAGGUCAGGCUGCAAUUCAAUCAAUAGGAAGCACGGGCUCUUCUGUAUUACUUUGCCAAGUCAUAUCAGGAGUUGUGGUGCACCAGAGUCCACAUCGGACCUGAUUCACCAUCCAGAGUGGUGCGCCUCUGAAAAUAAGCACACACACAUCUUCUCCAAGUACCACUCCAAGUUGGGCUGGGCGUAAUUGUGCUCCCAGGACCGAAAGCCAGCCAGCAGCAGCAAGGGCUGGGAGGAGAGGCAGAGCAGUGCACACCGGGGAGCUACACCAGCAUUAAGGGGGCAAAUGUACAACUGGUAGAAGUCGGAGGGGUUCAGAGCUCACCAGGCUGCCGCUGUGCUUUGGCAUGCAGUUACCACCACGCCGCCUGAUCCCAGAGCUGCACACUUCAGCAGUCCUGCCUGGGGAAGCGGUGACCACGGGAUUCAGGAUUUGAGCUGCCAGGCAGAAGUCUCACUCCUCAGCCUCUACGUGCCUCUUUAUUUUUGUGUGCUGCUGCCACUUGUGCCCUCUCACAGCAUCCAAAAAAUUUCCUAUUAUUUCUCCUCGGCAUUUAUUCUUUUCCAAUACUGGCAGAUGGUCAUACACCACUCUCUACCCCUCUGUUUUCUCCUCCUAUACGUCUCUGCUAGUUGGCACAACUUCUCCAUCAUGUCUUGGAAACUUUCAGUGUUUAACUUUUGCAGCAUGUCACCUGGUUUUGUCCCUUCCGAGCCAUAAAAGGAAAUGACUGCAUGGAGGGGCAGAGCUACGUUUAUCUUUCCAGAGUUUAUCAUGGUUUGGUGGAUGCAGUGAAAAAACUCUCUGUGUGGAGGAGGGCUGUCUUUCAACACAUCCAUUUGCCAGGAAAAGGAAUAUGGCAGUUGGGCUUCUGAAAAGAAAAAAAAAGAAAAAAAAAAAAGAAAAAAAGAUUAAAAAAAAAGGAAAAAAAAAAGAAAAAAGAGGAGGAGGAAAAGACACUAAUUAGCUGUGCAAGUCAGCUCUGAAAGAAUAAAUAAAGAAAUAAAGGAGUUAACA
rnacentral:lncRNA from 1 species